GGGGGCAUAGCUCAGUGGUAGAGCACCCGCAUACGUAUCGGAAGGUCGGGGGUUCGACUCCCUCUGCCUCCA
rnacentral:tRNA from 1 species